rnacentral:misc_RNA from 1 species
AACGGUCUAUACCUGCGGUACCUGCGGAAGGAUCAUUACCGAGUUAUCAACUCCCAAACCCCUGUGAACAUACCCGAACGUUGCCUCGGCGGGACCGCCCCGGCGCCCCUAGCGGCCCGGAACCAGGCGCCCGCCGGAGGACCCAAACUCUUGCUUUAAACAGUGGCAUACUCUCUGAGUCUCACAAACAAAAAAUAAAUCAAAACUUUCAACAAUGGAUCUCUAGAUCGGAAGAGCAAA